rnacentral:rRNA from 1 species
AACGAACGCUGGCGGCAUGCCUAACACAUGCAAGUCGAACGAUAUCUUCGGGUCUAGUGGCGCACGGGUGCGUAACGCGUGGGAAUCUGCCCUUUGGUUCGGAAUAACAGUUGGAAACGACUGCUAAUACCGGAUGAUGACGAAAGUCCAAAGAUUUAUCGCCAGAGGAUGAGCCCGCGUAGGAUUAGCUAGUUGGUGUGGUAAAGGCGCACCAAGGCGACGAUCCUUAGCUGGUCUGAGAGGAUGAUCAGCCACACUGGGACUGAGACACGGCCCAGACUCCUAGGGGAGGCAGCAGUGGGGAAUAUUGGACAAUGGGCGAAAGCCUGAUCCAGCAAUGCCGCGUGAGUGAUGAAGGCCUUAGGUUUGUAAAGCUCUUUUACCCGGGAUGAUAAUGACAGUACCGGGAGAAUAAGCUCCGGCUAACUCCGUGCCAGCCGCCGCCGUAA